UACAGAGGUCUCAAGCGUUGUUCGGAUUCAUUGGGCGUAAAGCGCGCGUAGGCGGCUUUGCAAGUCGGGUGUGAAAUCCCCAAGCUCAACUUGGGAACUGCAUUCGAGACUGCAUUGCUAGAGUAUGGGAGAGGGCAGUGGAAUUUCAGGUGUAGCGGUGAAAUGCGUAGAUAUCUGAAGGAACAUCAGUGGCGAAAGCGACUGCCUGGACCAAUACUGACGCUCAUGUGCGAAAGCGUGGGGAGCAAACAGG
rnacentral:rRNA from 1 species